AAACUAACAAGGAUUCCCCUAGUAACUGCGAGUGAAGCGGGAAAAGCUCAAAUUUAAAAUCUGGCAGUCUUUGGCUGUCCGAAUUGUAUUCUGGAGAAGCGUUUUCCGCGCUGGACCGUGUAUAAGUCUCUUGGAAUAGAGCGUCAUAGAGGGUGAGAAUCCCGUCUUUGACACGGACUACCAGUGCUUUGUGAUGCGCUCUCAAAGAGUCGAGUUGUUUGGGAAUGCAGCUCAAAAUGGGUGGUGAAUUCCAUCUAAAGCUAAAUAUUGGCGAGAGACCGAUAGCGAACAAGUACCGUGAGGGAAAGAUGAAAAGCACUUUGGAAAGAGAGUUAAACAGUACGUGAAAUUGCUGAAAGGGAAACGCUUGAAGUCAGUCGCGUCAUUCAGAACUCAGCCUGGCUUUUGCUUGGUGUAUUUUCUGGUUGACGGGCCAGCAUCAAUUUUGACCGCUGGAAAAAGGCUAUGGGAAUGUGGCACCUUUUGGUGUGUUAUAGCCCAUGGUCAUAUACAGCGGUUGGGAUUGAGGACCGCAGCACGCCUUUAUGGUUGGGGUUCGCCCACAUUCGUGCUUAGGAUGCUGGCGUAAUGGCUUUAAACGACC
rnacentral:rRNA from 1 species